AGCAGUCGCCACGGUAAUACAGAGGAUGCAAGCGUUAUCCGGAAUGAUUGGGCGUAAAGCGUCUGUAGGUGGCUUUUCAAGUCCGCCGUCAAAUCCCAGGGCUCAACCCUGGACAGGCGGUGGAAACUACCAAGCUGGAGUACGGUAGGGGCAGAGGGAAUUUCCAGUGGAGCGGUGAAAUGCGUUGAGAUCGAAAAGAACACCAACAGCGAAAGCACUCUGCUGGGACGACACUGACACUAAGAGACGAAAGCUAGGGGAGCAAAUGGGAUUAGAGACCCCUGUAGUCCCUGUCUCUUAUAC
rnacentral:rRNA from 1 species